UCUUCGAUAGUAUAGUGGUGAGUAUACCCGCCUGUCACGCGGGUGACCUGGGUCAAUUCCCAGUCGGAGAG
rnacentral:tRNA from 1 species